ensembl:lncRNA
AUCUGAGCUUGGUUUGUUCCCCCAGAGCUCACCCACUGGAAGCUUGGUCCCAGUGUGGAAGCAAGGUCAGGGUGGUGAUACCUUUAACAAAUGGGGCCGGGGGGUGGUUAUUAGGCCCUCAGGAGACCCACUCUCAGGAAUGGAUAAUGCUUUGCUCAGAGUGCUGACUGGGUCUUGCAGAAGUGAGUUUGUUUCCGGGAAGGGGUUGUACAGAGAGUGAGCCUGGUCUCUCUGCCUCUCAUGUCCUGUCUUGCCAAGCAUAUGAGACAUUUACUGGAACGGAUCAGAUGUCAGAGGCAGGCACUUGAAUCUCCAGAAUGGUGUUUUAUGUAACUGUCACGCAGUUUUUUGAAAAUCCAUCCAACGUGAAUGCUGGUUACUCUGACAGACGUUUUGCUUCCUCUGAUCUCCUGGGAGGGGGAUUCUCUCUGAUGCUCUUCUCACCACGUGGACCACAGUUUGACAGUGGAGGAUGGGUUUGAAUUUCCUAGAUGGAGCUCAUCGUACAGCAUAUCCAUCCAUUCAACAAACGCUUUACCGAAUGCUUCAGGCCCUGUUGCAGACAUUGGAAAUGCAAUAGUGCAAAAGCAACAGGAGGAUGUGCACUGUUGUUCUCAACCAACACUGCAACUGCAGAACUAUUCCGGUCUUCGAAUGAUUAUAUACAGGAAAACUGAAUUGGUGAUUUUGUUGGCAUAUGCACAGGCAGAAUGACCGCUAUGACUGGACAGCUUUCUGGUUUCACUACUCAAGUCAAAGACGUUGCUUUUGAAUGUAAAUCUACACACCAUGUCAUCCAUAGAGAAACGCUAGCUAGCCAAAAAAUGUCAUCUAAACUUAAUAGCAUUUGAAGAAGUGAUUAAAAUUCUCAACUGCAUGGAAGUCCAUGCCCUUACCUCAUGUCUGUUUACACAGCUCUGUGAGGAGAUGGGCACAGAGCACACACAUGUUCUCUUGUUCACCCAAGUGAGACGGCUUUCUAAAGGAAGAUCAAUGACUAGAGUUUUUGAGUUACAAGAGCCACUCUAGACAUUUGUUUUAGAAAAUCGUCACCCCUGGCAGCAUAUUUCAGUGACACAGAAUCAGUUGGAAAAAUUGCUUACUUAUGUGACAUAUUCAACCUGCUCAAGAACUUAAUCUGUCACUUCUGGGAGAACAACAACUGUGCUCGAGUCGGCAGAUAAAGUGGCUGCACUCAGAGCCAAACUGGGAUUAUGGGAGCAGUGAGUGAACAUCGGGAUGUUUGACAUGGUUCAAAUGUUAGCAAGAUUUUGAAAGAGACUGAGGCAGGACCUUCUUCCUUGCAUCUGUCUCAGCUUUCAAAAGAGUCUGAGCACCAUGACCCCAUGACCAAAGAGCCCCAAACCAGGAAGGCAUGGAUCCACGGCUCAUUUGUAAAUACACGGACUUUUCUGUGCUAGGAGAGGAUCAGCUGCUUGAGAACACAAGUGACAGUGGUCUUAAAAGUAUGUUUCAGGGGGCCGGGGAUUUAGCUCAGUGGUUCUGCCGCCUGCCUUGCAAGCGCAAGGUCCUGAGUUCCAUCCCCAGUACCAAAAAAAAAAAAAAGUGUGCUUGAGACAAAUUGAAAUCUCCGUAUGUUCUUGAUUAAAGACAAAGUGGGAUAGUCUGAGAUUGCCACAAAAGCACUGAAAAUCCACCUUCCAUUUACAGCAUCUUUGUUAAGCAGGGUUAUUCACAGCAACAACAGCCAUGGAAUAGACUGAGCAUAAGUGACGUGAAACAGAUCUCACUGUCUUGCAUCAGCCCCAGAUGAGACUGCCAAGUUGCAAGAAAACAAGCUCAGAGUUCCUGUCUUAGUUACUUUUCUCGUUGCUGAGAUAAAACACUCGACAUCAGAAGUUAAAGGAAGAAAGCUUAUUUUGGCUCAUAGUUUUAGAGGUUUCAGUCCACAGUCAGCUGGCUCCAAGCCAGGGUGGCACAGCAGAGGGGCAUCACAGAGAAGAAAUAGUCCAUGGCAAAGAAGGCAGAAGGCAGCAGAAGCAGCCAAGCAGCUAGCAGCAAGCAACAAGCAAGGACUCUCUUCCUGUCUCUUAUGUCUUAUCCAAGCUACCCACCCUUAGAGCAGGCACCUCUCACACCCUUAAUCCUACCAUUGCAUCCUUGAUCCCAGAAUCACACACCCUAAGUUGAGCCACCUCCAAAAAGCCCCACUUAUGACUGCAUGAGGCCUUGGGGGGACAUCUAGAUACAAGCCAUAGCAGUUCCCAUUGAUUCCACAUAUGGUGACUUGCAUAAUUAUUUCAUUAUGUAUUACAAUGUAAUAAUAAUAAAAAUAAAGCUCACAAUAAAUAUAAUGUGCCUGAAUCAUCCCCAAACCACCCCCUACCUGACUCUCAUCCACAGAAAAAACUGUCUUCCACAAAACUAGUCUCCCUGGUGCAGAUUAAGUUCCUGCUUUAAUCUUGUCUAAGAACUCACCACAUUGGGUAGAGUCCACUUAAAUGAAAAAGUUCUUUUUCUGUCCUAUUUCAGUUACGUGUGUGUGUGUCUGUGUGUG